GACGUAGGGGGCCAGCGUUGUCCGGAAUUAUUGGGCGUAAAGAGCUCGUAGGCGGUGUGUCGCGUCGGCCGUGAAAACCUGCAGCUUAACUGUGGGCUUGCGGUCGAUACGGGCAUCACUGGAGUUCGGCAGGGGAGACUGGAAUUCCUGGUGUAGCGGUGAAAUGCGCAGAUAUCAGGAGGAACACCAAUGGCGAAGGCAGCUCACUGGGACGAUACUGACGCUGAGACGCGAAAGCGUGGGGAGCAAACAGG
rnacentral:rRNA from 1 species